rnacentral:rRNA from 1 species
AGAGUUUGAUCCUGGCUCAGGAUGAACGCUGGCGGCGUGCCUAAUACAUGCAAGUCGAACGAAGAUCUAGCUUGCUAGAUCUUAGUGGCGAACGGGUGAGUAAUACAUAAAUAAUCUGCCCAUGUGACUGGGAUAACUAUUGGAAACGAUAGCUAUUACCGGAUAGGUUAAUUGGAGGCAUCUCCGAUUAAUUAAAGUAGGAUUUCUACACAGAUGGAUGAGUUUAUGGCGCAUUAGUUAGUUGGUGGGGUAACGGCCUACCAAGACGAUGAUGCGUAGCCGACCUGAGAGGGUGACCGGCCACACUGGGACUGAGACACGGCCCAGACUCCUACGGGAGGCAGCAGUAGGGAAUUUUCGGCAAUGGGCGCAAGCCUGACCGAGCAACGCCGCGUGAGUGAUUAAGGCCUUCGGGUUGUAAAGCUCUGUUGUAAGGGAAGAACAUUCAGGAUAGGAAAUGAUCUUGAACUGACGGUACCUUACCAGAAAGCCACGGCUAACUACGUGCCAGCAGCCGCGGUAAUA